rnacentral:rRNA from 1 species
CCCGGCGGGACGGACUGUAUCUCAGCGUUGUGCAAAUGUCGCUGGCGAUUUACGGGACGGCCGUGCCGUGAAAACCUCAUUUUAUCAGGUUGACCUCGGAUCAGGUAGGGAUACCCGCUGAACUUAAGCAUAUCAAUAAGCGGAGGAAAAGAAACCAACAGGGAUUGCCCUAGUAACGGCGAGUGAAGCGGCAACAGCUCAAAUUUGAAAUCUGGCGCAAGCCCGAGUUGUAAUUUGUAGAGGAUGCAUCUGGGCAGCGGCCGGUCUAAGUUCCUUGGAACAGGACGUCAUAGAGGGUGAGAAUCCCGUAUGUGACCGGCUGGCACCCUCCACGUUGCUCCUUCGACGAGUCGAGUUGUUUGGGAAUGCAGCUCUAAAUGGGAGGUAAAUUUCUUCUAAAGCUAAAUACCGGCCAGAGACCGAUAGCGCACAAGUAGAGUGAUCGAAAGAUGAAAAGCACUUUGGAAAGAGAGUUAAAAAGCACGUGAAAUUGUUGAAAGGGAAGUGCUUGCGCCCAGACUUGUCGGCGGUGUUCCGCCGGUCUUCUGACCGGUUUACUCGCUGUCGGCAGGCCAGCAUCAUCUGGGGCCGCCGGAUAAAGGCAGUGGGAAUGUAGCUCCCCUCGGGGAGUGUUAUAGCCCAUUGCACAAUACGGUGCGCCCCGGGUGGGGUCCGCGCUUCGGCAAGGAUGCUGGCGUAAUGGGCGUAAGCAGCC